rnacentral:rRNA from 1 species
UACGGAGGAUCCAAGCGUUGUCCGGAUUUAUUGGGUUUAAAGGGUGCGUAGGCGGUUUUGUAAGUCAGUGGUGAAAUACUCCAGCUUAACUGGAGGGGUGCCAAUGAUACUGCAGAACUUGAGUACAGAUGAGGUAGGCGGAAUUGACGGUGUAGCGGUGAAAUGCAUAGAUAUCGUCAAGAACACCGAUAGCGAAGGCAGCUUACUGGGCUGUAACUGACGCUGAGGCACGAAAGUGUGGGGAUCAAACAGG